AGUGAACGCUGGCGGUAGGCCUAACACAUGCAAGUCGAACGGCAGCACAGUAAGAGCUUGCUCUUACGGGUGGCGAGUGGCGGACGGGUGAGGAAUACAUCGGAAUCUACUUUUUCGUGGGGGAUAACGUAGGGAAACUUAUGCUAAUACCGCAUACGACCUACGGGAGAAAGCAGGGGAUCUUCGGACCUUGCGCGAUUGAAUGAGCCGAUGUCGGAUUAGCUAGUUGGCGGGGUAAAGGCCCACCAAGGCGACGAUCCGUAGCUGGUCUGAGAGGAUGAUCAGCCACACUGGAACUGAGACACGGUCCAGACUCCUACGGGAGGCAGCAGUGGGGAAUAUUGGACAAUGGGCGCAAGCCUGAUCCAGCCAUACCGCGUGGGUGAAGAAGGCCUUCGGGUUGUAAAGCCCUUUUGUUGGGAAAGAAAAGCAGCAGGUUAAUACCCCGCUGUUCUGACGGUACCCAAAGAGUAAGCACCGGCUAACUUCGUG
rnacentral:rRNA from 1 species